rnacentral:rRNA from 1 species
ACGGGAGGCAGCAGUGAGGAAUAUUGGUCAAUGGAGGCAACUCUGAACCAGCCAAGUCGCGUGAAGGAAGAAGGCCCUACGGGUCGUAAACUUCUUUUGCAGGGGGAUAAAGUCGGCCACGCGUGGCCGUUUGCAGGUACCCUGUGAAUAAGCAUCGGCUAACUCCGUGCCAGCAGCCGCGGUAAUACGGAGGAUGCGAGCGUUAUCCGGAUUUAUUGGGUUUAAAGGGUGCGCAGGCGGGCUGUUAAGUCAGCGGUGAAAUGCAGGGGCUCAACCCCGGCACUGCCGUUGAAACUGGCGAGCUCGAGUACGAAUGAAGUUGGCGGAAUGUGAUGUGUAGCGGUGAAAUGCUUAGAUAUGUCACAGAGCACCGAUUGCGAAGGCAGCUGACUAAUCCGCAACUGACGCUCAGGCACGAAAGCGUGGGGAUCGAACAGGAUUAGAUACCCUGGUA